ensembl:lncRNA
UUGUCUUAAGAUUUGCCACUCUUAAAAUUAAACAGAAGUAAAACUAGUGUGUCUGGAGUUUUUCUGACCUUAUUGUGCAGAUAUAAUAUUAACAACAUUAGUGUCAGAUCUCACGCAGAUUUUAAGAUUUUGGACUUCCUGGUAUUAGACUUCAUCAAAUGUUUAGUUCAUUUCAGAUUCUAAGGAAUUUAGUAUUUACUAUAGAAUGUUAAAAUAAGAUCUAACUUGGAUAGCCACCAAUGUAUAGGAUUAACAGGAUUUCUACAAAAAUAUAAUUACAAGUUUUAAAAUGUAUUGUAUUGUUAUAUUUGUUGCCAGGGAUGGAUGUUCAGUUUACUUAAUUCCACUUGAUGGGGCUUUUGAAACUGUUGUCUUACAUGGUUAGCCCCUAACUCAGCAGCAUAUCUGCAGGAAAAUUCCUUGAUUAAUGAUAAUGCCUCAGUGAUGGUUGAUUGGAUUCACAGUUGAAAUGAUUUAUUUCACCUCAUUUAUGUUUCAAGUGGAGCAUAUUGCGUUAAAUAUUCGGGUUUUUUAUAUCUAUAAAUGUAAAACUAAUACAACUGCAGAGAUAUUUUUCUUAAACACAGUGUGUAAUGAAAUUCUGUACAGUAAUUUAUCCACUUUGCAGUUUAUAUGAUCCACACUUGUGAAGUUCCAUAAAGGUGUAUAAUGUAUUAUGUACAAUCUCCCAGUCCAGAGAAUUCAGUUCUAAAAAGAAUGUACUUUUGUUUUGAAGUCCUUUGAAGAAAUUGCAUUCGGGCUCUGAAUGGUUACAGAUUGUACAUAAGAUGAAAAAUAGAACUAAUUUCUAAUUUCCAAAACUGGUGACACUAAAUAAACAGGGAAUUGCAUAAUCAGUGUAUUUAUGAUUGUUUAUAUUGCAAGCAGCAUUUUUGUUCUGAAAAACCUGGAAAUUUUGGCUUAGUUAUUGUUGGGAGACAUCAAGAGAAUUUUUCCUGAACUGGUGUAUUUGCUAAAAAGACAAGUCUGAUAGUCAAAAACUGAGCUAAACUUGUCUCUUUCUAACCUUAGGAAGAUUACCGAAAGCCAAAAAGUUUAGGUUGGUGGCUAUCAUGAAAACAUUCCAGAAAUACAGCCAAAAAUUGUUAUCUCUAAAGCAAGAACAUUUCCAUGCCACCUUCCAGUUAGUGAUGAUUUCUUAGGGCAUUGAAGAGUUGAGACUGGGCAUUGAGAGUGGCCUGGGAAAGGGCCUCCUCACCCAGUGCCCAUGGCAUGAUGACAUUAAGGAGAUGCAGCUCUGCCAGUUAUGAUUGCUUAUAUCUUCCUGUGUUCACCCAUGUGCAAAAGUGAAUUACGGCUUUAAAGUGAACCUAGUCUUAGCUUCUAUAAUUGGAUUUGAGAGUUGAACUAGUAAUAAAAGUAAAAUUCUGUGGGCUGCAAGAGGUGAUUUUGUGUAUUGUAAAAUGUGUAAUGAAAAUAAUCAGGCAUAACAAGUUUUGAAACAAGAUUGAGGCCACAAAUGAGUUAUGUUUGAUUUGUGUAACUGAUGCCUCUUGUCAAAGUAUAUCCUGUGGUUUUGUUUAUGGUUUUAGUUUGUUUUUUUAAUUCUUUAGAAUGUUGAACUUUUGUCUUUUAAUUGUGUGUUUUUUCCUCUUCAGUCAUUGCUGAAAAUCUAGUAUUGAAGCACUCUUUUCUUUGCUGUUACUUAAUAGCUUAGAUUGAAUAUCCCAUUAAAUCAAAUUUGAUUCUAGCCAAAAUAUGUGUUCUUUGGUGUAGUGCUCUAGAAAACUUGGUUUACAUGCCCUCUGUGAAACUUUAUUUGCCACAAAACCCACCAUUUUGCUGCUUUGCUGGCUGCUUGUUGUUUGCAUUAAAUUUUAAGUAUCUUAAAGGCUU